rnacentral:rRNA from 1 species
UACGAAGGGGGCUAGCGUUGUUCGGAAUCACUGGGCGUAAAGCGCACGUAGGCGGAUGUGCCAGUCAGGGGUGAAAUCCCGGAGCUCAACUCCGGAACUGCCUCUGAUACAGCACGUCUUGAGUUCGAGAGAGGUGGGUGGAAUUCCUAGUGUAGAGGUGAAAUUCGUAGAUAUUCGCAGGAACACCAGUGGCGAAGGCGGCUUACUGGUCCAUAACUGACGCUGAGGUGCGAAAGCGUGGGGAGCAAACAGG